rnacentral:rRNA from 1 species
GAUGAACGCUGGCGGCGUGCCUAAUACAUGCAAGUCGAGCGAACUGAUUAGAAGCUUGCUUCUAUGACGUUAGCGGCGGACGGGUGAGUAACACGUGGGCAACCUGCCUGUAAGACUGGGAUAACUUCGGGAAGCCGAAGCUAAUACCGGAUAGGAUCUUCUCCUUCAUGGGAGAUGAUUGAAAGAUGGUUUCGGCUAUCACUUACAGAUGGGCCCGCGGUGCAUUAGCUAGUUGGUGAGGCAACGGCUCACCAAGGCAACGAUGCAUAGCCGACCUGAGAGGGUGAUCGGCCACACUGGGACUGAGACACGGCCCAGACUCCUACGGGAGGCAGCAGUAGGGAAUCUUCCGCAAUGGACGAAAGUCUGACGGAGCAACGCCGCGUGAGUGAUGAAGGCUUUCGGGUCGUAAAACUCUGUUGUUAGGGAAGAACAAGUACAAGAGUAACUGCUUGUACCUUGACGGUACCUAACCAGAAAGCCACGGCUAACUACGUGCCAGCCGCCGCGGUAA